UGGACUUGUGAUCAGGUGAAAAAAUGCAACAAGCAGGACUGGCCAUGCGUGCAAAACAGAUCCUGAAUUAUUGAAAGGCAACCAUGUGGCUGCCACCCGAGCAAACAGAGACGAACAAUAAGAGAGGAAGUCAGAGGAGCAGCUUCUAUGCUUGUCUGUCAUUCACCCCAGGUUCUGCUGGAAAGCAUUCAGCCUGGAGAAGGUCUUGGAUUCCCAAAGGCUUUUCUGUUGUGGGUUUUUUCCCUCCAAACAUACACUGAACAGCAGGACAAUGGAGUUGUGUCAACAUGCAGGAGG